AGGACUCUCCAGAGAGUCGCCACUGGCAGAAGAUUCUCCAGAGACAGUCAUGUGACAUUGGAACUCUCAGCCUCCAGAACUAGUGUGUUUCAGAGCCAGCCACUUAACUGAAGACAGGAAUUCCAAAAUAUUUAUCUACCAAAGAGUUGGCUCAACUUUUCACCAUAGCAUGACUGAGUGAACAUAUUUGAGUUAUCAGUUCUCCUAUUUCAUGACACAGAAAAUUCCCCAAGUGACUGAGAGCUUAUAUUUUCCUGGAACUGAAGACGUGAAUAAGGAUUGAUGUAAUUUUCAUCUGUAAUAUUUCCAGAGAGGAAUUGGGCACAUCUUGACAUUUAGGGAACAGUAGUUAGUAGUAAAUGUUUCUCCAGAGUUUUUAGACUCCAUCGUCACUAUUUAUUAUAGAUUGGAAAUUCAUUUUGGUGGUCUGCUGGUCCAAGACAGUGAAUCACAACCCAAAUAUCAGCCCCUCCCCAUCAAAAGAAGAGAUUAUUCUGUUUCUGGUGUCUAAGGAUUAUUAAAUAUUUGAGAUGAAUUUAUAUUAAUAUGUUACCUUAAAUACAAACAAUC